CCUUGAAGACCUGAGCCGCUGCUCCGACGAAGCCUUGGCCGCGAGAACGACGCGCUCGCCACUCUUCACAUACUCGGACGACGCUAGCCUCUGGGAUUCUUCUUGAACCGCAAGCUGGUAUAUGCGGCCGAGCGGCGGGACCGGAUCCAUGGCCAAGAUCUGGCUCCGAAACGGUAAGUAGGUUUCAUUUAACACGAGUAGGAACCGUGUAACCUUCUCCCGAUCUCUCAUGGCCCGGUAUUGAGCCAAGGUCGCCUCGGGUCCCUCUAAUUUCUCCUCUGUCAUGUCGAUUUCAUUCCAUAGGGCAGAGAGUUUGUUGUAGAUUGCUGAGAUCGACAAAUUUCCUUGCUUGAGGUCUGAUAAUGCCUGCAUUAGGGUGAAAAUUUUUGCUCUAUCGAGCUUGCCAUACAUUUCCCUUAAAUUCUCCCAAAAUUUGUUUGCAUCUUCAGUCGGUGGUGCUCCGGCCACAACCUCCGCCGUGAGAUAAUUUCCAACCCAGGUCCAGACAAGUUGGUUGCACUUGCGCCAUUGUCGUGCAAGCCGCUCAUCGGACGGUAUCAGGACGGUGCCGUCCAAAAAGCCGUCUUUAUCUUUGGUCACAAGCGCUCGCCGGAGCUCGCGAGACCACAAAGAGUAGUUCUCCGGCCCUGACUGUCGCUGGGAGAUCAGGCGCAGCUCCGGUCCGUCGGUGGUCGUGGUGUACAAUGGGUCUCCAGGUUCCAGUCGACCGCCGAGACCUGCAAAAGGAAAAAAACCGGGUCCGUAGGUCGGGUAAGGAUUGUUCGCCCCAUACCCAGGACCCGAACCACUCUGACCCGGGAAGGACCAGUUCGCCCCGUAUCCAGGACCCGCUUCAGGUAUGUGCGAUGAGCUUUCCUCUAGCCCACCGAUCCUUCCGGGGUUGAUUUGAGGUGAAUUCUGUGUUGAACCUCCUUGAUUUGGUUGGAUUGAUACAGGUACCCACUGAACUUAUGGUCCUGUGGGGGGAUUUCCAGGAUUGAAUCCUGUGUUGAGCUGUGCAGUCUGCACGAGGCUUGUUUGACUUUCUGAUGGAUUUAUCUGUCGUUCUGCAGGGAUGACUUGUGGAUUUCCCUCAAUCCCCACAGAAACGCCGGAAGUUGAAUCUUCAGUAUUUGACAUGAUUUCUCCCUAAGAAGGCGUUGCGGAAGCUAGGCCAAGGUGGGAGGCUCUGAUACCAUGUCAGAAAAGUAGAAAGCUUGGGAUUUGGGAGAAUUGUAUAUUGCUUUUCUAUAUUCCUUUCAAUAUGUAAUUACAAUCUAUUUAUAAUACAGAGAGUCUAAAAUAAUAAAGGAAUAAAAAUAUAGACAAUAUCCCAAAGAUGUACAUAAAAUAUUCCCUAUAAUCAAAG
rnacentral:lncRNA from 1 species